rnacentral:rRNA from 1 species
CGCGAAGAACCUUACCAGGUCUUGACAUCCUUUGACCAUCCUAGAGAUAGGACUUUCCUUUCGGGGACAAAGUGACAGGUGGUGCAUGGUUGUCGUCAGCUCGUGUCGUGAGAUGUUGGGUUAAGUCCCGCAACGAGCGCAACCCUUAUUGUUAGUUGCCAUCAUUCAGUUGGGCACUCUAGCGAGACUGCCGCAGACAAUGCGGAGGAAGGUGGGGAUGACGUCAAAUCAUCAUGCCCCUUAUGACCUGGGCUACACACGUGCUACAAUGGAGGGUACAACGAGUUGCGAAGUCGUGAGGCUAAGCUAAUCUCUUAAAGCUCUUCUCAGUUCGGAUUGUAGGUUGCAACUCGCCUACAUGAAGCCGGGAUCGCUAGUAAUCGCGGAUCAGCACGCCGCGGUGAAUACGUUCCCGGGUCUUGUACACACC